rnacentral:lncRNA from 1 species
UUUAUAUAUCUUAUAGCAGCAAUAAAUUUAUUCUAGUGCAGGACCUAUGAAUAUUUCAGAUGCUCUGUGAGAAAAGCUCUUUGGCUUAAGACAGUUGUGAACCCCUGAGUUUGGGCUCAAGACAGAGCCACUGAUCUCUGCACCACACUUUUAUUGCUCUUUAGCUUCACUUAACGCAAAACCUUUCAAGGUGCUUUCUGUUGCAACUUACUCUUUAAUAAACUCCAUUUAAAUGAAUUUUUCAUUAAAAAAUCACUAUUUCAUACAUGUUUAUUUCAUACAUGUUUAUUUCUGAUUAGUUGCUAUAUUAAACCUUUAAAGAAACACAAGAUUCCUUUUUGUUUUUUCUUUCAAACAUCUUAUGGAAAAUUAGUUUGGUGAUUUGAAUUUAGUUUUUUUGGUUGUUGUUUUCUUUCUUUGCUACUAAUGAAAAAGGUGACUUUACAAUUUAGGACUUAGGAAAUUGUAAUACAGUCAAGUAGAGUCAUUUAUCUAUUUUUCAGAUUAGAUGGUAUUAAUAUUUCAUUCAUUUUCCAGAUUAGAUAAUGUUAAUUCUCAGGUAUCCUCAAAAAUUCUUAUAUAAUAUCUUCGUAUUAGCAAAGAAUUAUUCACAGAUUUAGGUUUGAGGAAAAUAUUUUUUAAUAUACUAGUAAGGAGGAAGGAAUAGAAAUAGAAAUUUUUUACCUAUUUAUCCAAUUAAAAAUUAUGCACUAUCAUGCCUGAGACAUGAGUCAAGGUUGGUUGGGGAUUAAGACAAAAAUUGUUUUCUUUUUCAUUUUUUUACGUGCACACACCCCAUUUCCUCAGCAAAUUACUAACAAAUACCUAUCCCUCUAGUCAAGAUCUGCUGAGUGAUAUUUAUAUGUUGCUCAUUUAGAAAUAUUCUUAAUGAAUUUGGCUUUAGUUCAAACUUGACUCCUUUGAAAGUUAUUUCUGUUUUGCUUUGUUUUCUCUCUUAUAUACAACCUCCUCCUCUUUUGUCCACAUUUAUGAAUAGGCUCUUACAUAGAACUUUGUUGUCUUGAACCUGCUGUCAAGUUCCUCGAUUUCCCAACAGCUUUGUAAUCAAAUUUAUUUUUCAUUUUCAUGGCUUUUGUUCACUGAAGUGUCAUCAUCAGACGUGGUACCUAAUAUCUGCUCUGAACUUUUACAUCUGCCUGAUCUGUUCUCUAUUUCUGACCGUAUAUUUUUUAUUCACCUCUCAGCACUGAGAUUUUUGAUACUAAGAUUAGUCUCUCUCCACAUAACUCUUUCCUUUCUUAUUAUAUGUAUCUCCAGCUCACAUGUUAUCUCUGCCCCGACAAGGCUGACUAGGUUUGACCUUGAGAUAUUAUUUCUGUAUAAGCUCUCUGAGAUUCCUUCUCUUUUCCUUUCUUCAUAAUUUUAACUCUCAGGCAGAAUUAUAUGUGAAUAAAGAAAAUACCUAAUUGUUUUCAAUCAUACCCUCUCUCCCAAUGUAUGAAAGAUUAUGAUUUCUUAAGUUGUUGGAUCGCCCUCCCAGUCAUGUUAUCUAACAUGAGAUGUUAAAAAUGAGCACAUUUUUUAAAAAAUUAAUUUUUUUUUCUUUUUGUGGCCACACGUGCAUAUGGAAGUUCCCAGGCUGGGGGUCAAAUCAGAGCUGCUGCUGCAUGCCUAUGCCACAGACCUGAGACCUAUGCCACAGCUUGCAGCAACGCCAGAUCCUUAACCCACUGAGAGAGGCCAGGGAUCCAACCUGCAUCUUCACAGAGACAGCAUCAUGUCCUUAAUCUGCUGAGCCACAACAGAAACUCCUUAAUUAUUUUUUUAUGGCCGCACUCACGACAUAUGGAAGUGCCCAGGCCAGGAAUUGAAUCUGAGCCUCCAAAGUUACCUGAGCCACUACAUUUGGAUUCUUAACCCACUGCACCAACAACACAAAGUCCUAAAAAUGGAUUUAUAAUACAGAUCACAAUUGAUAACACAGUCAGUACAAAACAUAAAUAUAUUUAAUAACUUAGUACAACACAAACUCACAUGUAUGACCACUAUGCUACACUUAAAACAACAUUACUAGCACUCCAGAACCUCCCUUUAUGUUCUUCUUCUGAUCAUUACACCUGUCUUCUGCAAAGUUAAUCUGCCUCUAAAAGCAAUUUAAUUUUUGCCUAUGCUUGGACUUCACAUAAACGGAAUAAUAGAGUAUGUGAGUAUGUAUUCUUAUCCAUCUAGGUUCUUCAGUCAGUUUUUUUGUGACAAUUAUCCAUGUUUGUGCAGCUGUACUUUAUUCAGUUUCAUUACUUUAUAAUAUUCCACUGCAUUAAACAUUGAUUGAUGGUAAUGUUGACAAAUAUUUAUAUUGUUUCCAGCUUCUGGUGACUAGAAAUAAUGCUACAUUUUUGUAUAUGACUCUUCCUACAGAUCACAAACUUCUGUUAGGUACAUCCUUAACAGGAAUAUGAACAAUGGAACCACUAAAUCUUAAGGAAGAUAUAUGCUCAACUUGAAAGUCAAAUGUUUGGGCGUUCUUCUGAGGACUCUAGUUGGUUUGUAGAGGAAUUCACCAAGUUAACAAUGUCCUAUGAACUUACUUGGGGAGACUUAUAGGUCCACUUUUUUACUUCCUGCACCUUUGAAGAAAAGAGCAGGGUCAUUGUUGCAACCCAGCAUGUGCUGAUGAACUGGCAGCCUAUAAUUAAUGACAUAUAAUCUACCUUAUAGGAGGGGAUGCAAUCCUCAACCAAGACCCCCAAUGGAACUCCCAAUAGGGAGGCAGUGGACUUGAACACAAGAACCAUAGGAUAACUUGCCCACAGAAAAGACAAAAAGCCUGUUAAUUAUGACAAAGUCAAAUAAGCAACACAGGGAAAAGAUGAGAAGCUGGCCUUCUUCCAGGGCCACCUAGUAUACCUGCCUUCAGAAAGUAUACCAAUACUAAUUCUGAUACCUCAGAAGGGCAAGUCCCUGUAAAUAUCCAUUUUAUCACUCAAUCUGCCCCAGACAUUAGGAGAAAUUUACAGAAUGCAGUUACGGGACCCCAAGUUUCCAUGGACCAGCUCAUAGUAUUUAAUAACAGAGAUAAGGUUGAGGAAACAAAAAGGGUGAGGGACGACAACAACAAAAGGCACAAUUACUGGUGGCACCACUAACCCCUGCACCACCCCAGGGUUCAUUCCUACUUAAAAAAGCACAUCGGGGAGAGCCAAGAUCUAGAAAAUUUGGAUCAGAGCCCAAUGCCCCACCAAGCAGGGUCAUCUUUUAAGUGCAGCCAGGUGGGCCAUUGGAAGGACAAAUGCCCCCUUGCAUGAAAAAAAAAUCCACAGAGGGACCCUGGCCAAUAUACAAACAAGAGGGCCACUGGAAGCUGAUGAUGGUAGAAAAGACUGCACACUGACAGGGCCUGGGACCCUCCCUGGCUUCCAAAGGACACCUGGUAAUUUCCCCAGAGGAACCUUCAAUCACCCUUGAUGUGGCAGGUAGGAAAGUUAUUUUUUUUUUAUUAGAUACAAAGGGCUGCCUACUCUAACUAGUUUCCCUGGACCUUUUCCUCCCACUCCUGCAUUGUAAAGGGGAUUGAUGGAUGGCCCAAAUCAAAUAAUUCACCCCACUCCCCACUGCUACCAGCUGCUUACUAGGAAGUUUACCUUUGCCGACCAGUUCCUGCUCACAUCUGAGUGCCUCGUCCCCUUGUUGGGAAGGGAUUUUCUCACUAAAUUCCAGACAGUAGUUCAGUUUUGAGGUCCCCUCAGAGAGGGUACCCACUAGGAGAAAUAACUUCUCUUGGACAUGGGAGUCUGCUUCAGUCACAAGUCAGAGGAGGUGUCUCUUCCACCCCAUGUUGUUUCUUUAGUAAAACCCUCUGGGACACAGAGGUUCUUGGCAGAGUUACUAGCUAAUGUGCCCCUUCAGAUUUCAUUAAAGCCCAGUGCUGAUUACCCAUGGAAAAAACAACAUCCCUUGAGGCCCAACGAGAACUAAGUUCUUAAUAUUGGACUGUUACGACCCUGCCAUUCUCCAUGUAAUACUCCCAUUCUGCUCAUAAACAAGCAAAGUGGAGAACACAGCUUUGUUCAAGAUCUGAGGGCAAUUAAUGAGGAAGUAGUUCCAUUAGUCCCUAAGCCAUACAUCAUACUGACCCAAGUCCCAGAAAAUGCAAACUGAUUCACAGAGCUAGACCUAAAGGAUGCCUUCUUUUGCAUUCCCCUGGACCCAGACUCCCAGUAUCUCCUUGCCUUUGAGUGGAUAGAUCCAGACAGUCCUAACUUGGACUGCUGCCCCAAGGCUUCAGGGGUAGCCCCCGCCUGUUUGGAAACACAUUAGCAGAGGAAUUAAGAGAGUGACCAUUGGUAAAUGGGUCCCUGCUAUAGUAUGUGGAUGUUCUCCUAAUUUCCAGUCUCACUAGGAAAGACUCAGCUAAAAACACCACUCAGGUCCUCAACUUCCUAGGGGAACAAGGAUAUUGAAUCUCCUCUCAUGAGGCCCAGAUUUCCACCCAACAGACUAAGUACCUGGGAUGUAUGCUCACCUCUGGAAUGAGGACUCCAGCUCAGGAUGGAAAGGAAGCCAUUAUAACACUUCAACUCCCCCACACCCCUGGACUAAGAGGCAACUGAGGGAUUUUUCGGGGGACACCAGGAUUUUGCAGAAUCUGGAUACCUGGAUUUGGGCUCAUAGCAAAAACUGUUUCUGUUUUAUAGAUAGGUUCAUUUGUGCCAUAUUUUAUUUUUUAAAUUCUUUUUAAUUUUUUCUUCAAUUUUUAUUUUUUUGUCUUUUUAGGGCCGUACCCAUGGCAUAUGACCCAGGCUAGGGGUCAAAUUGGAGCUGUAGCCACUGGCCUACACCACAGCCACAGCAAUGCAGGAUCUGAGCUGCAUCUUUGUGGCAUUAGAGUUGUUGGAUUCACACCGUAAAAAUUUAUACCUGGGGUGUCAAUUAGGAACACUUGGUAUUUAAGCAAUUUUCCACCCAUCAACCAUUAUUGUCCCUUUGCUUUUUGGAUUUCUUGUGCCUGAUGAGGAGUUGGGGCUUCCAGUGAUUUUUCCAGGGUGAAUUUAUUGACCUCCUCUACUAGUAGAGCAGUGGCAUCAUCCAUUGUCCUAAGACAUCUUAGCCAUCCAGUGACCACCUGAUCAAAUUGUUUUAAGAAAUAAGCUACUGAUCUAGAGAAUUUCUUGAACUUUUGUUUGUUUGUUUUUAGAGCCAGGAAUGCCUGUUUACAAUCUUCAUGCCAGUUGAGUAGUUUGUGGUCACCUCCUUUUAGGGCCUCAUAGAGAAGCUUUGCUAUGGCACAAAUGAUCCCCUCUACCAAACAGUCUUGUGUCAAGCCGUAAUAAAUUUAGGUGAGCACAUAUAACAAAAUAGAAAAUGUAAAUAACAUUAAAGAUAUACGCCUGCUAGCCUCAAAAUACAAAGUCGUCUUAUAAAUAAACAGAAAAAAUACUCAGACCAUAAAUGGGCAAUGAAUUAUGACUUUUCAAAGAAAAGAUCAAUAAUGAUGAGAAAAAAAUGUACUGUUUCACUUAUGAAAACUGUGAAUUAAAGUAACAAAGUUUUCUUUUUCACUAUCAACUUGGUGAAACUAUUUAAAAAAUAAUGAUAACUAACAUUAAUGAAUGUUUGGAGAACCAAAAAUUGCACAUACUCCUAUUAGGAGUAUAAUAUGAUACAACAUAUCCGGACAGCAAUACAGGGAUAUCUGCCAAGAGCCUUGCUUUCACCCAGUAAGUCUAUAUCUAUAAAUCUUCAAAGUUGUUUACCAUAGUUAAAAUAUCAAAAGAAAGGUCUAAAAUGUCAAGAACAACUGUAUCUUUAUACGGAAAUUUUUUUAUGGCCACACAGGUGGCAUAUGGACGUUCCCAGGCCAGGGACUAAAUCUGAGCUGCAGCUGCAGCAACCCUAGAUUCCUUAACCCACAGCACCAGACCAGGAUAAAAACACCUCUGCAGUGACCCAAGCUGCUGGAAUUCCUAUACAGGAUUUUUAUAUGCUGCUUAUUAGCCCUCAAAUGGAUAUUGCUUUUUUCAACUAGGGGAAAAUUGAUUAUAAUUAAAUGUCUUGCGAGUUUUAUUAUUAUGAGAAGCCACAGAAUAGAGAAAAAUAGAGGUAAUGUAUAUUUUUGAGCAUUUUGAAAUAAAGGUGUUAUGUUAAUAAUGUGCUCAAAUAACUGUUGUGAGAG